rnacentral:lncRNA from 1 species
UUUGGUAGAUUUCUACAAAGGUUCACCAGAUGUUGUCCGUUUUUCAAGUAUUUGGCACCAAUCAGUGACAUACUUAGACAAAGUAAAGUGGUCCCUCCUGACCAAAUUGCCACAAGACCAAGACGAAAAUAGUUCUACUUUAGAAUUUGUCCGUUCCUUACUGCUAGGGCUUCGUGUUUGAAAGGAAAGAUAUGGCACCACCACACACACAAAAACAGGAACGUGAAUAUGACAGAAGGCUGGAUUAAGAUUGAAAUAUAAAUUUUCCUUUAUUUGAAGAAUCCUUCAAAAGACUAUUGGGUCGAAAUAUAAUUAUUAUUCCUGUAUUUAAAAGUGACUCAAAGACCAAGAAAACAACGCUCCACCAGAUCAGAAUAUUUAUUUGUCACACAUUCUCAAAAAAAAAAAAAUAAUAAUUAUAAUUAUAAUGAUAAUUAAUUUUAAAAAGUUAAAAAAAGACAUUGAGAAUAUUUUGUUGGAUAAUAUUGAAUAUUCCAUUCCAAUAUCUCUGAGUUGUGGAAUAACAUUUGACAGUAAUAAAGGCAUGUAUAGAGAAACCCACAAAUUAGCAGCAGACAGCAUGAUAUCUAUGAUGUUAUUAUUAUAGAAAUGUUGUGUAAUUUGAAAUACAAACCAUUAAUAAAUUUAGCAAUAUUUAUGA